rnacentral:tRNA from 1 species
UCCCUUGUGGCUCAGACGGUAAAGCGUCUGCCUGCAAUGCAGGAGACCCGGAUUUGAUCCCUGGGUCGGGAA